CCCUUAGAUGUUCUGGGCCGCACACGCGCUACACUGAAGGAGGCAGCGUGUACUCCUGGAUCGAAAGAUUUGGGUAACUCGCGAAUCUCCUUCAUGCUAGGGAUUGAGGUUUGCAAUUAUCCUUCAUGAACGAGGAAUUCCCAGUAAGUGCAAGUCAUAAGCUUGCGCUGACUACGUCCCUGCCCUUUGUACACACCGCCCGUCGCUACUACCGAUUGAAUGAUUUAGUGAGGACUUCGGACUGGGACCGAUGCGGCUUUCGGGCUGCGUCGGUAUUCUGGAAAGAUGUCCAAACUGUAUCAUUUAGAGGAAGUAAAAGUCGUAACA
rnacentral:rRNA from 1 species